UUCAAUGGUGCCGCUAGCGGGGCUACCGAAAGGUAGGCUGGUUUCCGUGUACGCCAGUAGUCUCAACCCUGUUAGCGUCACCGCCCUU
rnacentral:antisense_RNA from 1 species